CUUUCUCUGCCUCUCUCUGCCACUCCCCUCCUCAAAAUAAACCCAAAACAAAACAACAAAAAAAAACCAAUUCCUAAUCAUUUAAUUCAUUCUUAGAUCCCAUUUCAAAAACCUAUUAAUAUCUUUGUGUUAAAUUGGGUAUUCCUUGUGUAAGCCAAGGCUAUUCAUCUCUAUUGUUAUUUGUCACAUUGAUGAACUCUUAUUUUAACUAUUUCAAAGGAUUAGUUUAAGGUGGUUAAUUGUCAUGAGCUAUCAAUGUUUCCUUUUUAAUAUUUUUCUCAUUUUGUGCUUUAGUGACAAAAAUGCUAUGUAUACCUUGCAGAAUCUGUCAACAUUCCAGCCUUGUCCGGUAAUUGAACUGCUCGUGUUCCAUCGAAAUGGCCUUUUAACAGGAAGUUGGAAGAUACUCACUGCCCAGGUCAGUAAUAAUAAGUAGCUGGCCACUUUGUUCUGAAAAAUUUUUAUAAAUUAUUUUAACAUUUUUCCUAGGACCAAUUUUGACAACCUUCCACUUUUCCCGAAAUCUUUCCAUUUUGUUGUUUGUUAAUUUCUGGGCAUCUAGGCUGUGUCAGGAACUGGUAACACAGCAGGAAGGAGGUAGCAGUUUCCUUCUCAGGAGGCUGUCACAGCCUGUCAGUAUCUACAUUCAGUGAUUACCACCUGACACACAUAUUUGAACUUGUAUGUAUAUUUUUUUAAAAAUGAUAUUAUGUGUAUCUGCUUAUCUUUAUACGUGUUAAAGAUACAUAUUUAAGAAAUACACGUAUCUUGGAGACUUUCAUAUCAGUACAUGGAGCUGGCUCAUGCAUUGUUACUGUUGUACAAAGUUCUAUAAUGAAAAUUACAUGUGUUGCUGAAUAUGUGUGUAGUGUUAUUUCCCUGUAUAAGUUUUUAGCUUGCCUUUGAUUUAUUCUGUUUAAUCAAAGUUGGUUUUGAAUUUUUGUCUUUCCAGAAAAUUAGUUCUUGGGUUCUUUUUUUCUUCUCCAUUUGAUUCAUUUAUUUGUGUUGUAUUUAUCUUUUCUGUUUCCUUAGGACUUUGAGUCAAAUGUGUAGUUCAUUUGUUUUCCUUAUUUAAUUAAUAGUGAGGGCAUUUUCAGGUCUUGAAAUUACCCUAGGUAUUAUAUUUGGACACCAGGCAGAACGGUUUCCAGAUAGAAGGAUCAAGAUUACAUGGGUCCUAAUGAGCAAAUACGUGGAGGGUCACAGAAUGUAUUCUUGAAUAAAGGUUUACACAGUGUUACCACACUCUGCUAGGCUGGAUUCCUGCCAAAAUGUUUUGAUAGUCACUCAAGAUUCUAAAUUCUUGACUCACUCCCUAGGAUGUGAGCCUUUCAGAGUUCUUAAUAGCACUAUAUAUCUCAAGAUUGCCCCUCAUCAUCCCUUACCUACCCUCUUGUCUCAAAGCCUGGCCUUGUCUUCAUAGUCUCCUCUUUGAAGACAUCCUCUUGUUUUUUUUACAAUUUCUUCAAUCAUUUAUUCACUCAACAGUUUCCUGAGCUAGAGAUGGAGUCAUUGUCUUAGCAACUGGGGAUAUAUAUGGGAAACUGAAAUAAAGACACCUGCUCUCUUGUUUAAUAUUUGUUCUAGGUGUUCAGUCAGAUGACAGAACAAGUUGGAAAAGACCUCUUUUUCUGUAUUUGUAUACAUAUGUGAUCAAAAUUUUAUUUAGAACUUGCCUUCUGUAUGACUUAUCUGGUAUAAAAAUAGGAUGAGACAUUUCAUUUUUAUUAUUCAGUGUGGUUCUCUCCAGUGUAAGUUUUCUGUUUUGUCGUUCUGUCAAAUAAGGUGGGAGCUAAGGCUAAUGAUUUGCCUGCACGGAUUACAUUGAGGAUCUGCUCUCAUAGGAGUCCUCUGAUGUUGAAUACAAUGAGGACUCCUACUGAAGGGCUUCUUGCCAGUGGGUUCUGUGACUCCUGAAGCCUUCCUAAGACCCGAUUACAUUCUCAUGAUCCUGAGUAAGAGAGCUGUGCUUGAAAGAAACCUUUUCACACGGUCAUAGUCCCUUGGCUUUGGAGUUCUCAUAGCAUGACAGGUUCAUCUGGACCAACUACGCAAGACUGCAGAGGAUUAACCUGAGCAGAUUAACAGCAGCCACUACAGUGAAAGCCCAACAGCACUCAGAAGGCCUGACAUAGCACAGUGAAGCGAGAUCCCUCUUUGUACACUUGCGCCAAAACUCGACUAGACCAAUUCUGCAUCAAGGAAUUCUAAAUGCAAUCAUGCUAACAGGAUUUUCUUAAUGAACCCCUGACAAACUGAUGUCAAGCACUCAUCUUGCAAACCAGGUGGGUGAAAAUAGUUCAUAGUUUGUUUUUUUUGUUUGUUUUUUUUCGGUUUUUUUAGAAAUAAUGAGAGAACUAUCAUUUAUCCAAGUUAUAAAACUACCAUAUGUACAGCAGUAUGUGUACUCAGACUAAGAUCAACGAAGCAGAAGGGACCAAGACCAAAGCCUAUGCCCAAUAAGUACCACGGAAAUUUAGUCUGUAAUAAGGACGGUGUUUCCAAUAAGCAGAAGAAUCUAGUCAAAAUUUGUUGAAAGAACAUAUGCUCCAUACCAUAUACACAAAGAAACUCCAGAUAAGUGCAACAAUCAGACAAAAACAAACAAACAAAAAACCCUGAAAUACAAGAAAGUAUUUAUGAAAUCUGCCUAUCUAUGAAUGGGAUAGGAAUAAAAACAGAUCUGAAAGGAAAAAUACCUAAA